CAAAGAAGAAAGGCAACCAUCUACAUGCUGUGAUUUCAGGUGCUACUUUCUUUAAGAUUCUUACCUGCUCAGUGAUUCCUGCUACACUUUGAAGAGAAGGACAAAACAGACUUUGAGGUCAAAUGAUUUCUACUGAGGCAAGUUGGUGAAGAAAAACAAGUUCUCAAUCUCACUAUUUACUCUUCUUCAGAAUAGUAAAGAUUUGAGGUGGAAUCAUAAAACAGCAGAAGAAAUCCAUCGACUCACAGAAAGAGAAGAAACGAACCAAUCCUGUCAACGAAUUGGGGACCACCAUCCUAGCCCCAGGUAAAAGCAGCAGCCUGCCAUAUGAAUGGAUUGAGCAAGGAGAAAGGGCCUCACAACGAAU